CCUACGGGUGGCUGCAGUGGGGAAUAUUGGACAAUGGGGGCAACCCUGAUCCAGCCAUGCCGCGUGUGUGAAGAAGGCCCUCGGGUUGUAAAGCACUUUCAGUGAGGAAGAACGCCUGGUGGUUAAUACCCAUCAGGAAAGACAUCACUCACAGAAGAAGCACCGGCUAACUCCGUGCCAGCAGCCGCGGUAAUACGGAGGGUGCGAGCGUUAAUCGGAAUUACUGGGCGUAAAGCGCGCGGUAGGUGGCUUGAUAAGCCGGUUGUGAAAGCCCGGGCUCAACCUGGGAACGGCAUCCGGAACUGUCAAGCUAGAGUGCAGGAGAGGAAGGUAGAAUUCCCGGUGUAGCGGUGAAAUGCGUAGAGAUCGGGAGGAAUACCAGUGGCGAAGGCGGCCUUCUGGACUGACACUGACACUGAGGUGCGAAAGCGUGGGUAGCAAACAGGAUUAGAUACCCCAGUAGUC
rnacentral:rRNA from 1 species